UUUUUUUUUUGUAUGUGGAAUUGAAACCAGGGCCACUUAACCACUGAGCCACAUCCCCAGCCCUUUUUUCCUUUUUUAAAUUUUAUUUAGAGACAGGAUCAAGCUGAGUUGCUUAGGGCCUGGCUAAGUUGCUGAGGCUGGCUUUGAACUCACAAUCCUCCUGUCUCAGCCUUCUGAGCAGCUGGGAUUACAAACGUCGCCACUGUGACUGGCCUUUAAGACCUUCUACUAGUUAAGGAAACUGAGGCACAGGGAGUGAGGUAACUUGCCUGAGGUCACUGGUAUGUGUUGAGAGCCACAGCCAAAGGGGCCCCAGCAAACUUCCAGCUGCUGGAAGGUAUGGACACAGUUGGAUGACUGGGAUCCAGUAAAAACAUUUGGAGCAGAAACUGAGACUGAGGGCCCUCCACGAGCCAGGAACCAAGAGGCACAGGGAGGGAGAGAGGACCAAGUGGGCCACUCCUGAGGAGCAGGAUGAGUGGGCACUUCAGCAGGCUCACACAUGCGUGCACACGCACAUGCGCUCACACAUGCGUGCACACGCACAUGCACUCACACACUGUCCAGGAGGAGAGGAGAAACCAAACAGAGAUGUCUAGAUGUGUGAGUGAGACUGAGGGACAGAACUACUUCUUCUUUCUUGAUCUUCUUUUUCUUCUGACACUGGGGAUUCAACCCAAGGGUGCUUAACCACUGAGCCACAUCCCCAGGCCUAUAUAAAAAUAUCGUAUUUAGAGACAGGGUCUCGCUAAGUUGCUUAAGGCCUUGCUAAGUUGCUCAAGCUGGCUUUGAAUUUGUGACCCUCCUGCCUCAGCCUCCCGAGUUGCUGGGAAUGCAGGUGUGCGCCACCACGCCCGGCUCAGCACUUCUGCCUUUGACUCUUCUGUCAGUGGAAUCUGGCCACGAGGAGGGCUAGACAUGGCCAGAUUGUAGGGCCUGGGAUGCCACACGAUAGCCGUGUGAUGGCACUCUUGGGAAGUGUUCUUUCCCAGCCACGCCUUUGAAAUGUGUCUGCUUGCUCCUGGUGCUGUCAUACCCUCCCCUGUGUUUCCACCUCGGAGCUCUGGUUAGGCCUAGAUGCUGUCCUCCCUGAACUGCUAUUGAUCCAGUGGGGGAACGUGAGCUCCGGCUCCCAAGCCUCUGGAGGUCAGCCUGCUGGUCACCUUGCUGGUGGCUUUGUACGAGCUGUUACAUUGGGGAGCACUGGGAGGGAGAGGCCUGGGUUGCUGGCCUGCAGCGGGUCUUAAUGCUGGUCCUUCUCCAGUCCCCACUUCCCCAGCUCCCUCCUGCUGAGUAGCCCGGGAGCCCUGGCCGGUCCCCCACAGCCCCACCCUGGGCCCUCACUGUCUGAUGUCAGUGUUCUCUGCCAGGCAGAUGGAACUGAACUGUGCCUAUUGUCUGUUCUUGAGUCUGUCACCAGGCUCUCUGUCCCCUGUCUUGGAGACUAAGCCAGGCAGAGGAAGAAGAGGUGUCCACAGAUCCCUUGGAGAACCUCGGGCCUCAACCACAGUUGCUUUUUCCUAUUUGAAUCUGACAGUUAGGGUUCCCAGCACCUCAUGCCAAUAAAGGAGGCGAGAGAAGUGUGAUAGGAGUCUGCGGCCCCUUCUGUCCCUGGGGAGGGGAAAAAGAAGGCUUGAAGCCAUCCUGUGGUGGGUCCCCAGAGUGGCUGUGGACCCAAGCAGCCCACAGUGCUCACCAUCUGACAGCGGAGGGCAGUGUGGUCAGGACCCGGACUACAUCGCCUCACUGUGGAUGGAGAACAGAGACCACAGAGACAUUUAGUCUGGGAAACGUCUUCUUCGGGGAAAGCGUUGUGAGGAGGCCCUGCCUGCUGCGUUGGGGUGGGCUGUGGAGCAGGCAUGAGGACAGAGCUGGCUCUCUGCAGGGAACGGUCAGUGCUGUGGCCCGAGUUUGGCUCUGCCUGUGAGUGACCCUGACCAAGUUACCUCAAUCUUCACCAGAGCAGAGGGU
rnacentral:lncRNA from 1 species